rnacentral:rRNA from 1 species
AUGCAUGUCUAAGUGGAGUAUUAUACAGCGAAACUGCGAACGGCUCAUUACAACAGAUAUAAUUUACUAGUUCUUGAUCCUAUAUGGAUAACUGCGGUAAUUCUGGAGCCAAUACAUGCAUCAAGCCUCGGCCUUCGGGUUCGGGGUGCAAUUAUUGGAGCAAAACCAGUCUUGUACUGUUUGCUAACUCUGGAUAAUUCUGCUUAUCGCAUGGUCUCGUACCGGCGAAGUUUCUUUCAAGUAUCUGCUUUAUCAACUAUCGUUGGUAGUUUAUUGGACUACCAUGGUGUUGACGGGUAACGGAGAAUCAGGGUUUGACUCCGGAGAGGGAGCCUUAGAAACGGCUACCAUGUCUAAGGAUAGCAGCAGGCGCGAAAAUUACCCAAUAUCAAAACGAUGAGGUAGUGACGAGAAAUAACGAGAUCGUUCUCUUUGAGGUCGGUUAUUGGAAUGAGUACAAUCCAGACAUUUUAACGAGUAUCUACGAGAGGGCAAGUCUGGUGCCAGCAGCCGCGGUAAUUCCAGCUCUCGUAAUGUAUAGAAUUAUUGUUGCGAUUAAAAAGUUCGUAGUUGGAUUGUCAAGCGGGAAUGGGUCCACCUUCGCGGUGCGUACUCAAUGCCCGCAUUUUGCUGGUUUUCGCGGCGUCGACUCUGUUGGCGUUCGUGAUGCCAGCAGGAUUACUUUGAACGGCUCAAGUGCUCAAAGCGAGUCUUAUGACUGAAUACCGGUGCAUGGAAUAAUGGAACAAGGUUGCGGCCGAGUUUUAUUGGUUUUGUCGGCUGAAACAAUGGUUAACAGGAACAGCCGGGGGCAUUCGUAUCGCUGCGCGAGAGGUGAAAUUCGUGGACCGUAGCGAGACGCCCGACAGCGAAGGCAUUUGCCAAGAGUGUUUUCAUUAAUCAAGAACGAAAGUCAGAGGUUCGAAGGCGAUUAGAUACCGCCCUAGUUCUGACCGUAAACGAUGCCAACUGUCGAUCCGCUUGUGGAUUUUAUUCAUGAGCGGGGAGAUUCCCGGAAACGAAAGUUUUUCGGUUUCGGGGGAAGUAUGGUUGCAAAGCUGAAACUUAAAGGAAUUGACGGAAGGGCACCACCAGGAGUGGAGCUUGCGGCUUAAUUUGACUCAACACGGGAAAUCUCACCCGGUCAGUACAUCGUGAGGAUUGACAGACUGACAGCUCUUUCAUAAUUCGGUGAAUGGUGGUGCAUGGCCGUUCUUAGUUCGUGGAUUGAUUUGUCUGGUUUAUUCCGAUAACGAGCGAGACUUUAACUAUUAAAUAGUGCACUUGUUGCUUCGGCUGCGAGUGAACACUUCUUAAAGGAAUUUGUGGUUUCCAACCUCAAGAAAUUGAGCAAUAACAGGUCUGUGAUGCCCUUAGAUGUUCGGGGCCGCACGCGUGCUACAAUGAUGGUAACAGCGUGAUUGUCCUUUUCCGACAGGAAUUGGCAAACAGUUGAGAUAUUAUUAUGGCUGGAAUUGAGUGUUGAAAUUUUCUCUCAUGAACGAGGAAUUCCAAGUAAAUGUGAGUCAUUAACUUGCAUUGAUUACGUCCCUGCCCUUUGUACACACCGCCCGUCGCUGCCCGGGACUGAGUUACUUCGAGAAAACUAGGGAUCGUCGGUGUUCAAUGUUUCGGCAUUGUCUUCGAUGCGAACUAGUUUAAUCGCAGUGGCUUGAACCGGGCAAAAGUCGUAACAAGGUAGCCGUAG